rnacentral:rRNA from 1 species
AGRAGUUUKRWWUCAUGGCUCAGGACGAACGCUGGCGGCGUGCCUAAUACAUGCAAGUCGAGCGGACAGAUGGGAGCUUGCUCCCUGAUGUUAGCGGCGGACGGGUGAGUAACACGUGGGUAACCUGCCUGUAAGACUGGGAUAACUCCGGGAAACCGGGGCUAAUACCGGAUGGUUGUUUGAACCGCAUGGUUCAGACAUAAAAGGUGGCUUCGGCUACCACUUACAGAUGGACCCGCGGCGCAUUAGCUAGUUGGUGAGGUAACGGCUCACCAAGGCRACGAUGCGUAGCCGACCUGAGAGGGUGAUCGGCCACACUGGGACUGAGACACGGCCCAGACUCCUACGGGAGGCAGCAGUAGGGAAUCUUCCGCAAUGGACGAAAGUCUGACGGAGCAACGCCGCGUGAGUGAUGAAGGUUUUCGGAUCGUAAAGCUCUGUUGUUAGGGAAGAACAAGUGCCGUUCAAAUAGGGCGGCACCUUGACGGUACCUAACCAGAAAGCCACGGCUAACUACGUGCCAGCAGCCGCGGUAAUACGUAGGUGGCAAGCGUUGUCCGGAAUUAUUGGGCGUAAAGGGCUCGCAGGCGGUUUCUUAAGUCUGAUGUGAAAGCCCCCGGCUCAACCGGGGAGGGUCAUUGGAAACUGGGGAACUUGAGUGCAGAAGAGGAGAGUGGAAUUCCACGUGUAGCGGUGAAAUGCGUAGAGAUGUGGAGGAACACCAGUGGCGAAGGCGACUCUCUGGUCUGUAACUGACGCUGAGGAGCGAAAGCGUGGGGAGCGAACAGGAUUAGAUACCCUGGUAGUCCACGCCGUAAACGAWRARWGSKAAGUGUUAGGGGGUUUCCGCCCCUUAGUGCUGCAGCUAACGCAUUAAAGCAMYUCCCCGU